UCGUUCUUGUCGGAGUGCCUUAGGGCUGAGAUCACGCUAGACGUGGGAUCCGUGGAACCUGAUCAGGGUAAUACCUGCGAAGGGAACAAGUGAGACACACAA
rnacentral:ncRNA from 2 species